GACGAACCGUGCGAACGUUGUUCGGAAUCACUGGGCUUAAAGGGCGCGUAGGCGGGUUUUCAAGUCUGUGGUGAAAGCCUCCAGCUUAACUGGAGAAGUGCCGUGGAUACUGGAGACCUCGAGGAGGGUAGGGGCAUCUGGAACAGCCGGUGGAGCGGUGAAAUGCGUUGAUAUCGGCUGGAACUCCGAUGGCGAAGGCAAGGUGCUGGACCCUCUCUGACGCUGAGGCGCGAAAGCCAGGGGAGCGAACGGGAUUAGAUACCCCGGUAGUCCUGGCCCUAAACGAUGAGAACUAGGUAGUGGACUUACAUGGGUUCACUGUCGAAGCAAAAGUGCUAAGUUCUCCGCCUGGGGAGUAUGGUCGCAAGGCUGAA
rnacentral:rRNA from 1 species